rnacentral:rRNA from 1 species
AUGGCUCGGGAUGAACGCUAGCGACAGGCUUAACACAUGCAAGUCGAGGGGCAGCAUAGAAGUAGCAAUACUUGGUGGCGACCGGCGCACGGGUGAGUAACGCGUAUGCAACCUACCUAUCAGAGGGGAAUAACCCGGCGAAAGUCGGACUAAUACCGCAUAAAACAGGGGCACCGCAUGGUGAUAUUUGUUAAAGAAAUUCGCUGAUAGAUGGGCAUGCGUUCCAUUAGGUAGUUGGUGAGGUAACGGCUCACCAAGCCGACGAUGGAUAGGGGAACUGAGAGGUUGGUCCCCCACACUGGUACUGAGACACGGACCAGACUCCUACGGGAGGCAGCAGUGAGGAAUAUUGGUCAAUGGGCGGGAGCCUGAACCAGCCAAGUCGCGUGAAGGAAAAGAAGGAUCUAUGGUUCGUAAACUUCUUUUGCAGGGGAAUAAAGUGCAGGACGUGUCCUGUUUUGUAUGUACCCUGAGAAUAAGGAUCGGCUAACUCCGUGCCAGCAGCUGC